CGUGUAGGCGGCCAGGUAAGUCAGAUGUGAAAACCCUUGGCUUAACCAAGGAAGUGCAUUUGAAACUGUCUGGCUUGAGUACGGGAGGGGGAAGCGGAAUUCCCGGUGUAGAGGUGAAAUUCGUAGAUAUCGGGAGGAACACCGGUGGCGAAGGCGGCUUUCUGGACCGAUACUGACGCUGAGACGCGAAAGCGUGGGGAGCAAACAGGAUUAGAUACCCUGGUAGUCCACGCCGUAAACUUUGGGCACUUGGUGUUGCGGGUAUUGACCCCUGCAGUGCCGAAGCUAACGCAUUAAGUGCCCCGCCUGGGGAGUACGGUCGCAAGGCUAAA
rnacentral:rRNA from 1 species